UGGUCAAGUUAUUAAGGGUGCAGGGCGGAUGCCUUGGCACUAGGAGCCGAUGAAGGACGUGAUAAGCUGCGAUAAGCUUCGGGGAGUUGCACGUAAACUUUGAUCCGAAGAUUUCCGAAUGAGGAAACUCACUUAGAGUAAUGUCUAAGUAUCAUUAAGUGAAUACAUAGCUUAAUGAGGGGAACUCAGGGAACUGAAACAUCUAAGUACCUGAAGGAAGAGAAAGAAAUUCGAUUCCGUAAGUAGCGGCGAGCGAACGCGGAUUAGCCCAAACCAAUAAAGUUUUCUUUAUUGGGGUUGCGGACAUAUCAUAACGAAGAGGUAUCGUAAUUGAAGAGGUUUGGAAAGACCCACCACAGAAGGUAAUAGUCCUGUAUGU
rnacentral:rRNA from 1 species